UCAGCUCGUGUCGUGAGAUGUUGGGUUAAGUCCCGCAACGAGCGCAACCCUUAAGCUUAGUUGCCAUCAUUAAGUUGGGCACUCUAAGUUGACUGCCGGUGACAAACCGGAGGAAGGUGGGGAUGACGUCAAAUCAUCAUGCCCCUUAUGAUUUGGGCUACACACGUGCUACAAUGGACAAUACAAAGGGUAGCGAAACCGCGAGGUCAAGCAAAUCCCAUAAAGUUGUUCUCAGUUCGGAUUGUAGUCUGCAACUCGACUAUAUGAAGCUGGAAUCGCUAGUAAUCGUAGAUCAGCAUGCUACGGUGAAUACGUUCCCGGGUCUUGUACACACCGCCCGUCACACCACGAGAGUUUGUAACACCCGAAGCCGGUGGAGUAACCAUUUGGAGCUAGCCGUCGAAGGUGGGACAAAUGAUUGGGGUGAAGUCGUAACAAGGUAGCCGUAUCGGAAGGUGCGGCUGGAUCACCUCCUUUCUAAGGA
rnacentral:rRNA from 1 species